rnacentral:rRNA from 1 species
CACGGGGGGAGCAAGCGUUGUUCGGAAUCACUGGGCGUAAAGGGCGUGUAGGCGGUCAGGUAAGUGAGAUGUGAAAUGCCCCGGCUCACCCGGGGACCGGCAUCUCAUACUGCUUGGCUUGAGUACGGGAGAGGAUGUGGGAAUUCCUGGUGUAGCGGUGAAAUGCGCAGAUAUCAGGAGGAACACCGGUGGCGAAGGCGGGUCUCUGGGCCGAUACUGACGCUGAGGAGCGAAAGCGUGGGGAGCGAACAGG